CACGUGAGCAACCUGGCCCUAAGAGGGGGACAACAGUUGGAAACGACUGCUAAUACCGCAUAACGUAUCGGGAUGGCAUCUUCCUGAUACCAAAGAUUUUAUCGCUUAGAGAUGGGCUCGCGUCUGAUUAGAUAGUUGGCGGGGUAACGGCCCACCAAGUCGACGAUCAGUAGCCGGACUGAGAGGUUGAACGGCCACAUUGGGACUGAGACACGGCCCAGACUCCUACGGGAGGCAGCAGUGGGGGAUAUUGGACAAUGGGGGCAACCCUGAUCCAGCGACGCCGCGUGAGGGAAGAAGGUUUUCGGAUUGUAAACCUCUGUUGACGGAGAAAAAAAUGAGGUAUCCGUUUAGAAAGCCACGGCUAACUACGUGCCAGCAGCCGCGGUAAUACGUAGGUGGCAAGCGUUGUCCGGAAUUACUGGGUGUAAAGGGAGUGUAGGCGGGAUAGCAAGUCAGAAGUGAAAAUUACGGGCUCAACUCGUAACCUGCUUUUGAAACUGACAUUCUUGAGUGAAGUAGAGGCAAGCGGAAUUCCUAGUGUAGCGGUGAAAUGCGUAGAUAUUAGGAGGAACACCAGUGGCGAA
rnacentral:rRNA from 1 species